GACGAACGCUGGCGGCGUGCUUAACACAUGCAAGUCGAACGGAAAGGCCCUGCUUUUGUGGGGUGCUCGAGUGGCGAACGGGUGAGUAACACGUGAGUAACCUGCCCUUGACUUUGGGAUAACUUCAGGAAACUGGGGCUAAUACCGGAUAGGAGCUCCUGCUGCAUGGUGGGGGUUGGAAAGUUUCGGCGGUUGGGGAUGGACUCGCGGCUUAUCAGCUUGUUGGUGGGGUAGUGGCUUACCAAGGCUUUGACGGGUAGCCGGCCUGAGAGGGUGACCGGCCACAUUGGGACUGAGAUACGGCCCAGACGCCUACGGGAGGCAGCAGUGGGGAAUAUUGCACAAUGGGCGGAAGCCUGAUGCAGCAACGCCGCGUGCGGGAUGACGGCCUUCGGGUUGUAAACCGCUUUCGCCUGUGACGAAGCGUGUGUGACGGUAAUGGGUAAAGAAGCACCGGCUAACUACGUG
rnacentral:rRNA from 1 species